rnacentral:rRNA from 1 species
CCGUUCAAUACUGCGGAGCUCGAGGGCAGAAGAGGGGGGUGGAAUUGCUGGUGUAGUGGUGAAAUGCGUAGAUAUCAGCAGGAACACCUGUGGCGAAAGCGGCCCCCUGGUCUGCUCCUGACACUCAGACGCGAAAGCUAGGGGAGUGAACGGGAUUAGAAACCCCGGUAAUCCUAGCCGUAAACGAUGGGUGCUAGGUGUGGGUGGUAUUGACCCCAUCCGUGCCGAAGCCAACGCGUUAAGCAUCCCGCCUGGGGACUACGGCCGCAAGGUUAAAACUCAAAGGAAUUGACGGGGACCCGCACAAGCAGCGGAGCGUGUGGUUUAAUUCGAUGCUACACGAAGAACCUUACCCAGGUUUGACAUGCAGGUAGUAGUGAAGCGAAAGCGGAACGAUCCUUCGGGAAGCCUGCACAGGUGCUGCAUGGCUGUCGUCAGCUCGUGCCGUGAGGUGUUUGGUUAAGUCCACUAACGAGCGCAACCCCUGUCGUCAGUUACAUGUGUCUGGCGAGACUGCCGGUCUUAAACCGGAGGAAGGUGGGGAUGACGUCAAGUCAGCAUGGCCUUUAUAUCUGGG